UACAGAGACUGCAAGCGUUAUUCGGAUUCACUGGGCGUAAAGGGUGCGCAGGCGGCCAGGUGUGUUAGGCGUGAAAGCCCGGGGCUUAACCCCGGAAUUGCACCUAAAACUACAUGGCUAGAGCAUUGGAGAGGGUAGCGGAAUUCACGGUGUAGCAGUGAAAUGCGUAGAUAUCGUGAGGAACACCAGAGGCGAAGGCGGCUACCUGGACAAUUGCUGACGCUCAGGCACGAAAGCGUGGGGAGCAAAAGGG
rnacentral:rRNA from 1 species